rnacentral:rRNA from 1 species
CGAAUGCUGACAUAAGUAACGAUAAAGCGGGUGAAAAGCCCGCUCGCCGGAAGACCAAGGGUUCCUGUCCAACGUUAAUCGGGGCAGGGUGAGUCGACCCCUAAGGCGAGGCCGAAAGGCGUAGUCGAUGGGAAACAGGUUAAUAUUCCUGUACUUGGUGUUACUGCGAAGGGGGGACGGAGAAGGCUAUGUUGGCCGGGCGACGGUUGUCCCGGUUUAAGCGUGUAGGCUGGUUUUCCAGGCAAAUCCGGAAAAUCAAGGCUGAGGCGUGAUGACGAGGCACUACGGUGCUGAAGCAACAAAUGCCCUGCUUCCAGGAAAAGCCUCUAAGCAUCAGGUAACAUCAAAUCG